rnacentral:lncRNA from 1 species
UUGGGACAAGAAGCGAAGAAACAGAGAAGGAGACAUAAAAAAGGAGGAAAAAGAAGGAAUAUGUGUUGGCUUUUAAGUUUUCAUUCAUCAAUUCUCCUUAUUUUCAAGAGGUAAGUAAAAAUUAUGUUAAUUGAAUUUUUAUGGUUUAUGGAAAAUUGCUCAUAUUUGAAGUUUAGCAAGAAUUAAUAAUUAUGGAUAUGUAUUUGAGGUAUUUAACAAUAAGAGUAAUAUAUAGUGGAAGAUUAGUGUUGUAGUGCAAGAAAUAUGAAAUGGGUUUGUAAAUUAGAGCUUGAAUUUUUUAUUUAUUGAGUGUAUCUGAUAUAAUACACUUGAUAUAUGAUGUAUUUCAAUGAGAUAUGGAGUUGAGGUUGAAUUUUGAUAUUUUUAAUCAAUUUUCGUGCAAAAUUCAUGUACAAGUGCUAUUUUUGAAAUUAAUCCCAGAAAGUGCUAUUCUUGUCAAUAGUUUCAGUGAUAGUUUUCAAUAUGCAAAAAUAGAUGUCAAACUUCAGUACUCUGGGAUUUUAGUAAUGUUUUUGUCAAAAACCUUUAUUUUCUAAGAUUUACAAGUUUGAAUGAAACUAAAUGAUAAAUAUUGAAGCCUAGGUAUUGGAUUAAAUCAUGUAUGGGGGUUGUAUAAGUAUAAAGGUAGUAGUUUUAAGAAAGUAUUGAUAAUCUAAUGGAUUAGAUUAUGUGCGGUAAUUGACUGCUUAUAAUCAAAGAUAAGUUAGGGAGAUUGAGAUGCAAGAAUAAAUAUAGUAGUUGAGGAAUUACACGGUGGAUUUAAAUUAAUUUAAUUGUCAUGUUUUAUUUGGGUUAUUAUACCGUUAUUUCAGAUAGUGACGUGAAAAUUUGGAAAUGUUCAUCAAUAUAACCAGAUUGCUAUCCAUAGAUCCGCGAGUGGAAAAACUUAAAUAUUUUCAAGUAUUGAUAAAUUGAUUAUACUAUUACGUAACAUGGGAUUAUGUGAAUUAUUUCAGUUACAUGAUUAUUAACAAAUGUUCCCUCACUACGAUAUGUGUGGAAUUAGGAAUGUGCCUUUGGUGAUCGUGGGAGGUUUGAUCACUUGCUUGUGCCGUUGUGAUAUGGUGAUUUUACUAUCUAGGGUGGGAUACUUCUUGACUAAUCAUGGGAGCUGUUAGGGGUUGUACCUCUUGUGAUCACAGGAGGAUGGUCCACUCGAUUGUGAAAUUGUGUUUAUUAGCAUCUCGGGUAGGAUACUUCUUGGGUGAUUAUGAUGGCUAUCAGGGGAUUUGUCUUUGAUAAUCACAGGAGGAUUGGCCACUCGACUAUGCCCAGUUGGUUAUUGAAUAUUGAUAUUGAUAUUAUGUAAAACUCUAUCCGGUAUCUAGUAGGUGUGUCAAGGGCCCAAUAAAAAUGAAAGUUUCAAAUGAAAAUAUUUCGAGUUUACAUUGAUGAUCUUAUCAUGUUUGCGAGAUGUUAUUUUUCAAUAUUACAAGAAUGAUUCCUAUCUCAAUUAUUAUUAAAUAAUGUUAUAUCGUGACUUGUUAAAUAAUAUAGACUCGAUUUUGAUACAAAAGUAUAAGUCCC